CCUACGGGUGGCAGCAGUGAGGAAUAUUGGUCAAUGGGCGCAAGCCUGAACCAGCCAAGUCGCGUGAGGGAUGACGGUCCUAUGGAUUGUAAACCUCUUUUGUCGGGGAGCAAGGCCCGCCACGUGUGGCGGGAAGGAGAGUACCCGAAGAAAAAGCAUCGGCUAACUCCGUGCCAGCAGCCGCGGUAAUACGGAGGAUGCGAGCGGUAUCCGGAUUUAUUGGGUUUAAAGGGUGCGUAGGCGGAAGGUUAAGUCAGCGGUCAAAUUGAGGUGCUCAACACCGGCCUGCCGUUGAAACUGGUCUUCUUGAGUGGGCGAGGAGGAUGCGGAAUGGGGGGGGUAGCGGUGAAAUGCAUUGAUAACA
rnacentral:rRNA from 1 species